rnacentral:rRNA from 1 species
UACAGAGGUCUCAAGCGUUGUUCGGAUUCAUUGGGCGUAAAGGGUGCGUAGGUGGUUUGUUAAGUUGAAGGUGAAAUCUCGGAGCUCAACUCCGAAACUGCCUUCAAUACUGGCGAACUCGAGGACUGUAGAGGAGAAUGGAAUUCACGGUGUAGCAGUGAAAUGCGCAGAUAUCGGGAGGAACACCUAUGGCGAAGGCAGCUCGCUGGGACGUUACUGACGCUGAGACGCGAAAGCGUGGGGAGCAAACAGG